rnacentral:lncRNA from 1 species
CAGUGCAAUAAAGAAAGAUGUUAAAACAGAGUCGAGAUAGGGGAAUAAUGUUUAAUUGGCUCUCCAGAGUCCACUAAUUUUCAGAAUUGGAAACCUAGUGUUUGAUUUGUUCUUUUUAGUCAGCGAGAAGAAAAAAUAUCCUUCAUAAAUUCUGAAUGACAAAUUUGCCCAUCCUUUUUUGCAUGUGGUUCCAGCAUCCCAGGGAAUCUAAAGUGUCAUUUCCUCUCUGGAAGAAAGGAAGCACAAAACAUGCUAGGACAAAAUUGGAGAAACUGAUUAUUUUACCCAGGCUUUGACUGGAAUGGCAUGAUUCCUUUAAAAAAUUCAAGCUUGACUUAUACAGCCAAUUAAGCCCUGUUGGGGAAUCUGGUCUCAUACCUUGUCCACACAGAGUCCUUGUACAAGUUUCCCGACCUGUGAAAGAAGAAAGAGCUUUAACAGACAUUUGAUAAUGAAUUGUUACUUCUUACUCAUGUUUAUAUAUAAACUCUUGACUGUCAAUGCUAUAAAAGACAAUUCAAAAGGAAGAAAUGCAGUUAUAUUGAAACACCAUUCAAAACAUCACAACAAGAAAUGCAGUCUACUAUAAACU